UACAGAGGGGGCAAGCGUUGUUCGGAAUUACUGGGCGUAAAGGGCGCGUAGGCGGCCUGUUAAGUCGAACGUGAAAUCCCCGGGCUCAACCCGGGAACUGCGUCCGAUACUGGCAGGCUUGAAUCCGGGAGAGGGAUGCGGAAUUCCAGGUGUAGCGGUGAAAUGCGCAGAUAUCAGGAAGAACACCCGUGGCGAAGGCGGCUCUCUGGGACGGUACUGACGCUGAGACGCGAAAGCGUGGGGAGCGAACAGG
rnacentral:rRNA from 1 species